AAGUGCGUCAUCAGCCGGCGCCAGCGGCCGAUAGCCGCGGAGCAGGGGCUCGGAGGCCCCGGGAUUCCGGUGCUCGAGCACGCUGGUGGGAAAGGACCUGGGACUUGAACAGUGUUGUGCGCCGCCAUGCAGGUCUCCAGCCUCAAUGAGGUGAAGAUUUACAGCCUCAGCUGCGGCAAGUCCCUUCCUGAGUGGCUUUCUGAUAGGAAGAAGAGAGCGCUACAGAAGAAAGAUGUAGAUGUCCGUAGGAGAAUUGAACUAAUUCAGGAUUUUGAAAUGCCUACUGUAUGUACCACUAUUAAGGUGUCAAAAGAUGGACAGUACAUUUUAGCAACUGGAACAUAUAAACCUCGGGUUCGAUGUUAUGACACCUAUCAAUUAUCCUUGAAGUUUGAAAGGUGUUUAGAUUCAGAAGUUGUCACCUUUGAAAUUUUGUCUGAUGACUACUCAAAGAUUGUCUUCUUACAUAACGAUAGAUACAUUGAAUUUCAUUCGCAAUCAGGUUUUUACUACAAAACCAGAAUACCAAAGUUUGGGAGAGAUUUCUCUUACCACUAUCCAUCCUGUGACUUGUACUUUGUUGGGGCAAGUUCUGAAGUUUAUAGGUUAAACUUAGAACAAGGACGAUACCUGAAUCCUCUACAAACUGAUGCCGCGGAGAAUAAUGUUUGUGACAUAAAUUCAGUGCAUGGCUUGUUUGCCACAGGCACCAUAGAGGGUAGAGUGGAGUGCUGGGACCCAAGAACUCGAAACAGAGUUGGCCUGUUAGACUGCGCCUUAAACAGUGUCACAGCAGAUUCAGAGAUAAACAGUUUACCAACAAUCUCUGCUUUGAAAUUUAAUGGUGCCUUGACCAUGGCAGUUGGAACAACCACGGGGCAGGUUUUAUUAUAUGACCUUCGAUCUGAUAAGCCAUUGCUUGUGAAAGAUCACCAGUAUGGGCUGCCCAUUAAGUCUGUUCAUUUCCAGGAUUCAUUAGAUCUGAUUUUGUCUGCUGACUCUCGAAUUGUCAAGAUGUGGAAUAAGAACUCCGGAAAAAUAUUUACUUCCUUGGAGCCAGAGCAUGACCUUAAUGAUGUUUGUCUCUACCCCAACUCAGGCAUGCUUCUGACGGCCAAUGAAACCCCCAAGAUGGGCAUCUAUUACAUUCCAGUUUUGGGUCCUGCUCCUCGGUGGUGUUCCUUCCUAGACAACUUGACCGAAGAAUUAGAAGAGAAUCCAGAAAGCACAGUCUAUGAUGAUUAUAAAUUUGUCACCAAGAAAGACCUUGAAAAUUUAGGGCUCACCCACCUCAUUGGAUCUCCUUUCCUCCGGGCAUAUAUGCAUGGGUUUUUCAUGGAUAUAAGACUCUAUCACAAGGUGAAACUGAUGGUAAAUCCAUUUGCUUAUGAAGAAUAUAGGAAAGAUAAAAUACGACAGAAAAUAGAAGAAACACGUGCACAGAGAGUCCAGUUAAAGAAAUUGCCAAAAGUUAACAAAGAGCUGGCACUUAAAUUAAUUGAGGAAGAAGAGGAGAAGCAGAAAUCUACAUGGAAAAAGAAAGUUAAGAGUCUUCCUAAUAUUCUCACCGAUGAUCGAUUUAAAGUUAUGUUUGAGAACCCUGACUUCCAAGUAGACGAAGAGAGUGAAGAAUUUAGGCUUCUGAAUCCACUUGUUUCAAAAAUUAGUGAAAAAAGGAAGAAGAAACUAAGACUCUUAGAGCAACAAGAACUUCGUGAAAAGGAAGAGGAGGAAGAGCCAGAAGGAAAACCAAGUGAUGCAGAAAGUUCGGAGAGUUCAGAUGAUGAAAAAGCCUGGGUUGAAGAGGUCAGGAAGCAACGCAGACUCCUCCAGCAGGAGGAAAAAGUGAAGCGGCAGGAACAACUCAAGGAGGACCAGCAGACAGUCCUAAAGCCCCAGUUUUAUGAGAUCAAAGCAGGAGAAGAAUUUAGAAGCUUCAAAGAUUCUGCCACAAAGCAGAAACUGAUGAACAAAACCCUUGAAGAUCGUUUGAAAAUUGAAGCAAAAAAUGGGACAUUGAGUGUAUCCAACACCACCAUUGGCAGCAAACAAUUGACAUUCACGUUAAAGAGGUCUGAACAGCAGAAGAAGCAACAGGAGGCUGAGAAACUGCAUCGACAAGAAAGGAAAAGACUCCGUCGUUCGGCCGGGCACCUGAAGUCAAGACACAAAAGAGGACGGUCAUUUCAUUGAUUUGGGAAGUGGUCCUACCUGUGAUUAGGGAGGGGUACGUCUCCCCCAAACUGAUCAUCGUUAGGGUGUUAAACACAGACAAGGGAACACACGUGUUUAAAGUUCAUGUACAUUCUUGUACACAGAGGGAAAGAUUUGAAAACCUGUGCCUUGUGGAUUGGACUUUGAAGCUGGGCCCUGCCGAUGGCCACCGCAUAGCCCCAAGGGUGUGCUUGCAAGUCGUUGCUCCCUGGAAACAUUGUCCUUUCCCCAUGGUUUUAAUCAUGAAAACCAGGACAAAAUCACGAAUCUCAGCCUCUCAGGAUUUGAGGGAUCUUCUAGUUGAGCUGGCUGAGACGCCUACCUGAUUGGAUUUCCCGAGUUGCCUUCUCUCCCAUUUCAGAUGAUCUCAUUUGUCACCUCUCUUCAGUGUCCCAGCGCUGCCUCCCAGAUAGCCUCUGGGCCUUUCAUCUGGGUGGCCGCUGGCACUUUGUGAGUUCCACAUGCUCAAAGCAAAACUCAUCCACCCCAUCCCACCCACCCGAACACUUGCUGCUACUCCUCAUUCGCCCGUCUAUGAAGCUGAGCCAGAAGUCACAGUUGCCGCAACCACUACUUAUCGAGCACUCUGUGCAGGUGACUCAGCAAAGAGCCGUUUCCCUGAGUUUAUGCUUCACGGGGGAGACAGACAAGAUCCAGUAGACACGAUGCAGGCCACACGAGCCAUUGGGCAGGAAGGAGAGCUGGGAGGGCAGGGCUGAGAAUGCAAGAAAUCGGCUGGCUCAGAAGAGGCCUCUCUGAGAAGCCUCCUGGCCCAGCAGCCUUCUCUGCACGCGAAUGGCAGCAGCAUCUGGGCUCCCCAGGCCAAGCUGUGGGAAACUCUAAGCCUUUCAUGAUGAUGGGCUUUCAAAAUCCAGGAUGGACUGAUUAGUGAAGACAACAGAAGGAAACAAGACCUGGGUCUGGUCCGGACUUGCUCAUGGCGAAGAUUUCAGUUAGUGGCCAAGUCACUUAACCUGUCCAUGCCUUGGUGUCUACAUCUGUAAAAUGGGUUUAAUAGUAUCUGUCCCCUAAGACUUCAGAAGAUGUUAGUGGAGCCUAGUGAGUGAAGUCCAUUAAAUUCAGAAGAAAGGCGUAACUAAAUACAAAGCACUACUAGAAUUAGCUCUCAGGUUCUUUAAGCCAGGUUGCAUCUUGUUUUAAGAGGGUUACCAUGGCGAUGAGUUUGUUUGAAAACCAUAUGUUUAAAAGGCUUGGCUAUUAUCUUGCAACAA